rnacentral:rRNA from 1 species
AAACUCAAAGGAAUUGACGGGGACCCGCACAAGCAGCGGAGCGUGUGGUUUAAUUCGUUGCUACACGAAGAACCUUACCUGGGUUUGACAUAUAGGUUGUAGGGAACUGAAAAGGGACCGACCCUUCGGGGAGCCUAUACAGGUGUUGCAUGGCUGUCGUCAACUCGUGUCGUGAGAUGUUCGGUUAAGUCCGCUAACGAGCGCAACCCUCGUCGUAUGUUAUAUGUGUCAUACGAGACUGCCGGUAAAAGCCGGAGGAAGGUGAGGAUGAUGUCAAGUCAGCAUGACCUUUAUAUCCAGGGCUACACACACGCUACAAUGGUCUGUACAAUGGGUAGCCAAGCCGCGAGGCGGAGCCAAUCCUGAAAGCAGGCCUCAGUUCAGAUUGCAGUCUGCAACUCGACUGCAUGAAGCCGGAGUUGCUAGUAACCGCAGGUCAGCAAUACUGCGGUGAAUACGUUCCCGGGUCUU